AAAAGGAAACAUUCCUUAUAAUGAUUAAAGUCAGGGGUACCUGGGAUAUUUUUCUCCCCUUUUUUCCCAACUUCAGUCCUCCCACUGGAAUGCUUGUGCCACUGUCUGAGAUAAAGGAACUGCUGUAUGGGUACAAAGAUGGAUGUAGGCCAGGCACUGCAGCCUGGUGAGACUCCCCUGUGUGUAGCUCAGAACACCUGUCCCGCUGUGUCUUGGCACCUCCAGUCUUUACCAGGCCAAGGAGAAGCACCAUGUCUUCCCCCAAGCCACCGUCUCCCGGGACCCAAAAGGAGCAAGUCGAGGUGGAACUUAGGGACCAGUGUUUACUGGGAGAUCUGCCACCCAAAACUGCAUUUCUUAACCAGAAAUCAAAUUACAAGCUGCUGACAUGGAAGAAAACUGGCUAUUAAUAUUUUAGUAUGGAUACUGUGUGCAAGAUACCCCCAGCUGUGAGCACUCUCAGAUGAAGGUUUCUAACCUCCAUCUUCCCUGCCCCUCCACCACCCGUACAUCCAUCAGAGCGCUGUCAUGGUAGAGGGGCUUCGAUGCUCCUUCCUGAUGCGGCCAUCAAGGCCCUCCAUCUAACACAAGCCGACACAUCAUAAUAACAGUAAGAGGCCUUUCCUGUCCAGUGUCAUGCUUGGAGAGAUUAGUUCCCCUCCACAAAACCCAGGUAAUUUGCUUUUGCUGAAACACAUUUGUAGAUCGUAUUCUUUCAGGUUAACUAGUUCAUGAGAAGAGAUGA